GAGAGAGAGAGAGAGAGUUAGCUUUAGCAGUGCGGAGCGCCUCCGUGAUGCAGAGAAGAGCAGUCUCAGUUGAAUGACUAGUCUUGAAACCUGACUGAUUUGGAUCAAGAAGGUCAUUCUGAGAGAGAUAGCGGUAGAGCUGGCCAAGGACGGCACGUUCAAGAGUUUUGGAGAGAAAAGAAAGAAGGGAUACUGGUCUGUAGUUGUUGACAUCGGAGGGAUCGAGUGUAGGUUUUUUCAGAAGGGGUGCAACUCUCGCUCUCUUGAAGACGGAAGGGACGUAGCCAGUGGUCAGGGAUGAGUUGAUGAGCGAGGUGAGGUAAGGGAGAAGGUCUCCGGAAAUGGUCUGGAGAAGAGAGGAGGGGAUAGGGUCAAGCGGGCAGGUUGUUGGGCGGCCGGCCGUCACAAGACGCGAGAUUUCAUCUGGAGAGAGAGGGGAGAAAGCGGUCAGAGCACAGGGUAGGGCAGUGUGAGCAGAACCAGCGGUGCCGUUUGACUUAGCAAAUGAGGAUCGGAUGUCGUCGACCUUCUUUUCAAAAUGGUUGACGAAGUCAUCUGCAGAGAGGGAGGAGGGGGGGGGGGAUUCAGGAGGGAGGAGAAGGUGGCAAAGAGCUUCCUAGGGUUAGAGGCAGAUGCUUGGAAUUUAGAGUGGUAGAAAAUGGCUUUAGCAGCAGAGACAGAGGAGGAAAAUGUAGAGAGGAGGGAGUGAAAGGAUGCCAGGUCCGCAGGGAGGAGAGUGUUCCUCCAUUUCCGCUCGGCUGCCCGGAGCCCUGUUCUGUGAGCUCGCAAUGAGUCGUUGAGCCACGGGGCGGGAGGGGCGGACCGAGCCGGCCUGGAGGAUAGGGGGCAUAGAGAGUCAAAGGAUGCAGAAAGGGAGGAGAGGAGGGUUGAGGAGGCAGAAUCAGGAGAUAGGUUGGAGAAGGUUUGAGCAGAGGGAAGAGAUGAUAGGAUGGAAGAGGAGAGAGUAGCGGGGGAGAGAGAGCGAAGGUUGGGACGGCGCGAUACCAUCCGAGUAGGGGCAGUGUGGGAGGUGUUAGAUGAAAGCGAGAGGGAAAAGGAUACAAGGUAGUGGUCGGAGACUUGGAGGGGAGUUGCAAUGAGGUUAGUGGAAGAACAGCAUCUAGUAAAGAUGAGGUCGAGCGUAUU